GAGCCAUUGGCUCAAUGGUAGAGCGUUCGACUCAAAUACCAAAGGUCGCGGGUUCGAAUCCCAGGU
rnacentral:tRNA from 1 species